AUUGAACGCUGGCGGCAUGCCUUACACAUGCAAGUCGAACGCGAAAGUAGGGGCAACCCUGCGAGUAGAGUGGCGAACGGGUGAGUAAUGCAUCGGAACAUUUCCAGUAGCGGGGGAUAACCUCGAGAAAUCGAGGCUAAUACCGCAUACGUCCUACGGGAGAAAGCGGGGGACCGCAAGGCCUCGCACUAUUGGAGUGGCCGAUGCCGGAUUAGCUAGUUGGCGGGGUAAAAGCCCACCAAGGCGACGAUCCGUAGCUGGUCUGAGAGGAUGAUCAGCCACACUGGGACUGAGACACGGCCCAGACUCCUACGGGAGGCAGCAGUGGGGAAUUUUGGACAAUGGGCGCAAGCCUGACCCAGCCAUGCCGCGUGAGUGAAGAAGGCCUUCGGGUUGUAAAGCUCUUUCGGCCGGGACGAAAUCGCACCCUUUAAUACGGGGUGUGGAUGACGGUACCGGAAGAAGAAGGACCGGCUAACUACGUGCCAGCAGCCGCGGUAA
rnacentral:rRNA from 1 species